rnacentral:tRNA from 1 species
UCCUGGCUGGCUCAAUCAGUAGAGCAUGUGACUUUUGAUCUUGAGGUCAUGAGUUCUAGUCCCAUGUUGGGGU